AGUGAACGCUGGCGGUAGGCCUAACACAUGCAAGUCGAACGGCAGCACAGUAAGAGCUUGCUCUUACGGGUGGCGAGUGGCGGACGGGUGAGGAAUACAUCGGAAUCUACUUUUUCGUGGGGGAUAACGUAGGGAAACUUACGCUAAUACCGCAUACGACCUACGGGUGAAAGCAGGGGAUCUUCGGACCUUGCGCGAUUGAAUGAGCCGAUGUCGGAUUAGCUAGUUGGCGGGGUAAAGGCCCACCAAGGCGACGAUCCGUAGCUGGUCUGAGAGGAUGAUCAGCCACACGGGAACUGAGACACGGUCCAGACUCCUACGGGAGGCAGCAGUGGGGAAUAUUGGACAAUGGGCGCAAGCCUGAUCCAGCCAUACCGCGUGGGUGAAGAAGGCCUUCGGGUUGUAAAGCCCUUUUGUUGGCAAAGAAAAGCAGCAGGUUAAUACCCCGCUGUUCUGACGGUACCCAAAGAAUAAGCACCGGCUAACUUCGUG
rnacentral:rRNA from 1 species